rnacentral:tRNA from 3 species
GGCGCUAUGGCCGAGUGGUUAAGGCGAUGACCUGAUAAAUCAUUGUGCGCAGCACGCGUGGGUUCGAAUCCCGCUGGCGCCG